rnacentral:rRNA from 1 species
UGACCUGCCCAAUGAUGGUAUUUAAUGGCCGCGGUAUUCUGACCGUGCAAAGGUAGCAUAAUCAUUAGUUUAUUAAUUGUGGACUUGUAUGAAUGGUUGGACGAAAUAUUGACUGUCUCAUAUUUAUUUAUUGAAUUUAAUUUUUUAGUUAAAAAGCUUAAAUUUUAUUGUAAGACGAGAAGACCCUAUAGAUCUUUAUUUUUAUUAUUUAUUAUUUAUUUAGUUUAUUUUUAAUGAUUUUUAAUAAAUUUUUUGUUGGGGUGACAUGAGGAUAUAAUUAACUCCUUAUUUGUUUUAUACAUUUAUUUUUGAUUUUUUGACCUUUUAUUAUUGUUUUAAGAUAUAGAUACCUUAGGGAUAACAGCGUAAUUUUUUUUGAGAGUUCAUAUCGACAAUAAAGAUUGCGACCUCGAUGUUGGAUUAAGAUUAAUUUAAGGUGUAGGUGCUUUAGUUAUUAGGUCUGUUCGACCUUUAAAUUCUUACAUGAUCUGAG